rnacentral:rRNA from 1 species
GAUGAACGCUGGCGGCGUGCCUAAUACAUGCAAGUCGAGCGAACAGACUAGGAGCUUGCUCCUUUGACGUUAGCGGCGGACGGGUGAGUAACACGUGGGUAACCUACCUAUAAGACUGGGAUAACUUCGGGAAACCGGAGCUAAUACCGGAUAAUAUUUCGAACCGCAUGGUUCGAUAGUGAAAGAUGGCUUUGCUAUCACUUAUAGAUGGACCUGCGCCGUAUUAGCUAGUUGGUAAGGUAACGGCUUACCAAGGCAACGAUACGUAGCCGACCUGAGAGGGUGAUCGGCCACACUGGAACUGAGACACGGUCCAGACUCCUACGGGAGGCAGCAGUAGGGAAUCUUCCGCAAUGGGCGAAAGCCUGACGGAGCAACGCCGCGUGAGUGAUGAAGGUCUUCGGAUCGUAAAACUCUGUUAUUAGGGAAGAAUAAACGUGUAAGUAACUGUGCACGUCUUGACGGUACCUAAUCAGAAAGCCACGGCUAACUACGUG